GAUGAACGCUAGCUACAGGCUUAACACAUGCAAGUCGAGGGGCAUCAGGAAGAAAGCUUGCUUUCUUUGCUGGCGACCGGCGCACGGGUGAGUAACACGUAUCCAACCUGCCCUUUACUCGGGGAUAGCCUUUCGAAAGAAAGAUUAAUACCCGAUAGCAUAAUGAUUCCGCAUGGUUUCAUUAUUAAAGGAUUCCGGUAAAGGAUGGGGAUGCGUUCCAUUAGGUUGUUGGUGAGGUAACGGCCCACCAAGGCGACGAUCGGUAGCCGGACUGAGAGGUUGAACGGCCACAUUGGGACUGAGACACGGCCCAG
rnacentral:rRNA from 1 species